rnacentral:lncRNA from 1 species
GAAACCGCCCAGAGGAGAAUUGAUGGAGGGCCCAGGUCCCUGUGGUGCACAGGGAGAUGCCAUGUCCUGCCUCCACACCACCCAGCUUCAGAACAUGCAUCUGAUUUGCUUUGCUGCUCACUCCGGCCCCUGUGCACUCACAGCCACACACGUACUGCCUGGUCCUUUAUGGCUGUACACCUGCCGCAGUAGGGGCCAGCAAAGAGGAAGACGCAUCUGCUCAGCGGGCUCUCUCCAUGGCUGGGCAGGCUGCUGAUCUUUCCUGGGAGCACUGCAGGGAGGAGCCCUGGGGCAUGAACCCUGGUCUCAGGCUCCCUGGGGAAGGGCUUGGCCUCGGCUGGGAAUGAUUGGGGUUUAUCAUUGCCAUUAGGAGGGACACCUCCAGGUCAACUAGUCUUUGCACUGGAAAAAUUUCAGAAAUGCCCCUGGCUCCCUUGAUGAGUUUCUCUUAUUUUUCUGUGUGCAUCCUUCCCUGUGUUGGCUCAGGCAUGGGAAUCUCAGGGGAAGGAAGGCAUGUUUCUACUGUGGAGAGUGAGGUUGGUUACCUCAGGGCCGAUGGGGCUUAGCCUGGAAGCAAUCACUGUCUUCCACCCUUCCUCACUGUGGUGAGGACUCAAUUAAAGUGGCACCUGGCACACGUAAAAAAAAAA